AUUGGAUUUGAUCCAAGAUUCACAUGAUCCAAAUCCAAUUGGAUCGGAUUUGGGUCGGUUUAAAAUGAAUUUGGAUCGGAUUUGGAUAUCAAUGUGCGGAUCUAAGAUGGAUCUAGAGCAAGUCUGGAUCUAUCUUAAUAUCUAAAUCCAUAUCCAUAUCCACCAAUCUUUUAAUUUUAUUUUAUUUUAAAAGUUUCUUAACAAUUGUGGAAUUAUAAUGAUAAUAAAUUUUAUUCAUAACACAUUAGUGAUAUUUACCAUGCAUUUAAACUCUUCAAACUUAAAUGUUAGUUUUGUAAAUUUAAAGGUCAGCCAGCCCCAAAGCAUGUACAUAUAAUAUUCAAAUUGCAAGUCAAGUAAUACAACCUGAUAAUUUAUUUUAUUGUAUUGACUAAAUAAUUUUUAAGGAAUAUAGUUAUUCAUAUAUUUAGUCAAAUAUGGUUAUAAUAAAAAUAAUAAAGUACUAAAUAUAAAUCAUAUUUAAUUUAUAUGUCAUUAUCUAAUGUUGUAGGAAUGAGGGUGGGUGUGUCGUGGA
rnacentral:lncRNA from 1 species